AACAGGAGGAAAAAAGUAGUGAAAAAUUUACUGAAAAAUGACUAUUUUUAAAGUGGGUCUUAGAAAAUAAUGGGUGAAAAUUUUCAAAUUUUUGUUUAAUAAUUUUAGUAAUACAUAUAAAAAAAUAUUAGAAAAGUAAAAAAAAAAAAUUUUAAAACUAUAUUGCUAUGUAUAGUAAUGAUUUUUUCAAACAUCAGAAAAAAAGUGUACUACAUGUCAAAAACAGUGCUGCAACUUUUUCCCAACAAAUCCCAACAAAUUGGGACCAAAUCAGGUGAAAAGAAGAAAUAAAGACCUUUAAAAUGACACAUGAAAUUGUUGCGGGGAGUUGCGGGAGCUUAUUUUAUUGACUUUUAAAGUUCGCGCAAGCAUGUGUGCGCGUGCGAUCGUAAUUGUCGGCGAGCGUAAAAAUUCGAAAUAAUAAGCAUCUUGCACUUUGGCUUGCGGAGUUUUGAUACAAUUUGCAACAUUGGAUAUCGCCAAGAUGUCAAAAAGUUCCAUCUUCAUAUGAGCCCUGAUGAAAAAAGACUGGUUGCAAAUCGGGAGACACGAGUCAAGCAAGAAUUUCGGGAGCAGCUGGGUCUAAUUGUUGACCAGAGGCGGGAUGGAGGUGCUGGCACUACAACAACAGGAAAUGUUGCUCGCAAAGCUUUUCAAAACCCAGGUAGCUACACUUGCAAGUUUUGGUACUUUCACCAAACUUUUUGGGAAGCAUUCAGAAAUAAUUUAGUUUUUAGAUAUUAUGUCUUGUCAAGUUGCAUGAGCAUCACAUCAUAGCUUUGCUGUCAAUUUGGAGAAAUUCAAAUCUUGAUAUCUGUAUAUUCCUACAUAUUUUCUUUCUUUUUUAGAAAUUGUUGCAAGAAUCUGUGAUGUCCCUGUCAAACUGGUUGAAAAUCUUUGAACACUCUGGUCUGCCCUUGCAUCUGGAUAUCCCAUUGAUCCAGACAAGUUUAGAGUUCUGUGUGAAGAGACUGAGAAGAUUUAUUUUGACCAUGUAAAAUGGUACUGGUUGUCCCCAACAAUUCACAAGGUUCUGAAACAUGGAAAACAAAUCAUUGAAGCUUGUGUUCUUCCAAUUGGAAUGACCAAUGAGGAACCAGGAGAGGCUAACAACAAAUUUCUUCAAAAAAUCCGUCUUUAUCAUGCUCAAAAAUCAUCCUGGCUCAAUGGCAUGUCUGACCUUUUCUUGAGACUGAUGGACAUCAGUGAUCCAAAGAUACAGGCUUAUGUCCACUGCAAGAAAAAGAAGCACAACUCAGAGAUCUUGCCUGAACCCAUCAAGAAACUCUUGAAGAUGGCGGAACUUCAAAUUUCUAGAGAUGCCUCUGAUUCAGAAGAAGAAUAAAGAAGUCAAACAAAGCAACCAAAGCCUCUCAUAAAAAUUAAAAAAAUUCUCAUACAUUCCCAAUUUUUUUAUUUAUCUAAUGUUAUUAGUUUCAACCAGAUCAAACAAAAUUGAUAUGCUUAACUCUAUGUAAAAAAAUAUUUUCUUUGAUGUAAGCACUUAUGUUGUGCCUAAUAUAACCAACUAGAACCUCA